GGAGGGUUUUGAGCCCUUUUGUACAGGUUCGAGUCCUGUUCUUCUA
rnacentral:tRNA from 1 species